rnacentral:SRP_RNA from 1 species
GGCAGGGCGUCCGAACCGUGUCAGGGCCGGAAGGCAGCAGCACUAAGGGCUUUACCCUGGGUGCCGCAGGAGUGCCUGGCCCGA